rnacentral:lncRNA from 1 species
GCGUCACCUGCGGUAAAGAGGAGUCUCUGAGGCUCCUGGCCUGGAUUUCGCCCAUUUACCGUGUGACUCCUUCCCACCAAAGUCCCGCUUUCUUCUCCUGUGACCCCAAGACACUGACAAAACAGCUCCCAUCUCCCAUUUCCAUCCUCAGGCUCAGAGAGCCAUGGCUGACUCCAGGCUGCCUGGGUGAAUUCCUGAGACAGAGCCAGUUUACAGUGAUCAUUUGCAGGCUCUGAACUAAGGAACCUCAAAAGUGGACACUCACAUGUGAUCAAAGUGGACACCCAGGCACACAGUCUCCCUGCGUUUCCUUUCUCCUUAUUUGUCUGGAGGAGCCAGGAGUGGGCGGGCUGCAAGCUGCGAUGGUCUGGAUGAUUCAUUUCCUCCUCAGAGUCAAGAGCUGCGUGUUGG